rnacentral:rRNA from 1 species
GAAAGGCUUCGGCCGGACAGGGAUGGGCAUGCGGCGCAUUAGGCAGUAGGCGGGGUAACGGCCCACCUAACCGACGAUGCGUAGGGGUUCUGAGAGGAAGGUCCCCCACACUGGUACUGAGACACGGACCAGACUCCUACGGGAGGCAGCAGUGAGGAAUAUUGGUCAAUGGUCGGGAGACUGAACCAGCCAAGCCGCGUGAGGGAUGAAGGUACAGAGUAUCGUAAACCUCUUUUGUCAGGGAACAAAGGCGGGGACGUGUCCCCGGAUGAGUGUACCUGAAGAAAAAGCAUCGGCUAACUCCGUGCCAGCAGCCGCGGUAAUACGGAGGAUGCGAGCGUUAUCCGGAUUUAUUGGGUUUAAAGGGUGCGCAGGCGGUCUGUUAAGUCAGCGGUCAAAGCCCGGGGCUCAACCCCGGCCCGCCGUUGAAACUGGCAGUCUCGAGUUGGAGAGAAGUAUGCGGAAUGCGCGGUGUAGCGGUGAAAUGCAUAGAUAUCGCGCAGAACUCCGAUUGCGAAGGCAGCAUGCCGGCUCCACACUGACGCUGAGGCACGAAAGCGUGGGUAUCGAACAGGAUUAGAUACCCUGGUAGUCCACGCAGUAAACGAUGAAUGCUGGCUGUCCGGGGGGACUGACCCC